GGAUUGUGGCUUAGUGGUAGAGCGUUCACCUGAUGCGUGCAGGGCCCUGGGUUUGAUCCUGGGCACCA
rnacentral:tRNA from 1 species